rfam:Anoxybacillus flavithermus strain 25 c84, whole genome shotgun sequence.
GAACAUAAGCAGAAGCACCCGCUUCUCACCUGAUCGACGCCGUAUGGCUGUUAGCAGGUUUCAUGACAGAAAAAUGUUGUGAGCGAGACGUGUGGGUGUAUUGUGCCCACACGUUUUUGUCGUG